rnacentral:rRNA from 1 species
CGCCGAUAUGCUUCGGGGAGCUGUAAGUAAGCUUUGAUCCGAAGAUUUCCGAAUGGGGAAACCCACCAUACGUAAUGGUAUGGUAUCCUUAUCUGAAUACAUAGGGUAAGGAAGACAGACCCAGGGAACUGAAACAUCUAAGUACCUGGAGGAAGAGAAAGCAAAUGCGAUUUCCUGAGUAGCGGCGAGCGAAACGGAACAUAGCCCAAACCAAGAGGCUUGCCUC